CUUCAAUUCAUUAAAUUUAGCCAUCAACUGCACGAAGGAUAACCAAUGGAGGAAGGCAUUUAUUUGGACCAUAUAAUGCUUGAAGAAACUAUCACUUAUCUCCAAAUAGUUGAAUACAAGUCUUACAAUAAUUAUAAUUAUAUCAAGCUUCCUUCUAGAAAAUUAUUAGCACUCAAACUAACUGGAACAUUAGUUAGGAAUAUUAGAAAAUUUGAAAUAGUUCCCAACCUGAACUGAAUCAAUUUAUGCACCAAGUCUUCACUAUUAAUAUGGCACACACAUGCAAGCAUGCAUCACGUGCACACACAUGCUCAAGGGGAAAGAGAACAAAUAUGAUAUAUGUUCAACCAAUCAAUCCAGUCUGAAAUUCAGGAACAUGGAAAAAAAUAUGAAAUGUAUAUCAUGUGACCUAUAAAUGAAUAGUACUUUUGACUGAAUUAAUCAUGUGUGCAAAGAAAUUUAAGGGUGUAGCAAAGCAUAGAAUUA
rnacentral:misc_RNA from 1 species